UCGUCUAGUGCUAUUAUGAAUUCGAGGU
rnacentral:sRNA from 1 species